rnacentral:rRNA from 1 species
AUUCGAUUAGAGUUUGAUCAUGGCUCAGGACGAACGCUGGCGGCGUGCCUAAUACAUGCAAGUCGAGCGGACCGACGGGAGCUUGCUCCCUUAGGUCAGCGGCGGACGGGUGAGUAACACGUGGGUAACCUGCCUGUAAGACUGGGAUAACUCCGGGAAACCGGGGCUAAUACCGGAUGCUUGAUUGAACCGCAUGGUUUAAUUAUAAAAGGUGGCUUUUAGCUACCACUUACAGAUGGACCCGCGGCGCAUUAGCUAGUUGGUGAGGUAACGGCUCACCAAGGCAACGAUGCGUAGCCGACCUGAGAGGG